CCUGGUCCAGGCUGCUCUCCCAGCAGUGUGUGUUUCUGUGUCUCCCGGUCCUGGCUGCUCUCCCAGCAGUGUGUGUUUCUGUGUCUCCUGGUCCUGGCUGCUCUCCCAGCAGUGUGUGUUUCUGUGUCUCCUGGUCCAGGUUGCUCUCCCAGCAGUGUGUGUUUCUGUGUCUCCUGGUCCUGGCUGCUCUCCCAGCAGUGUGUGUUUCUGUGUCUCCUGGUCCUGGCUGCUCUCCCAGCAGUGUGUGUUUCUGUGUCUCCUGGUCCAGGUUGCUCUCCCAGCGGUGUGUGUUUCUGUGUCUCCUGGUCCUGGCUGCUCUCCCAGCGGUGUGUGUUUCUGUGUCUCCUGGUCCUGGCUGCUCUCCCAGCGGUGUGUGUUUCUGUGUCUCCUGGUCCAGGCUGCUCUCCCAGCGGUGUGUGUUUCUGUGUCUCCUGGUCCAGGCUGCUCUCCCAGCGGUGUGUGUUUCUGUGUCUCCUGGUCCAGGCUGCUCUCCCAGCGGUGUGUGUUUCUGUGUCUCCUGGUCCUGGCUGCUCUCCCAGCGGUGUGUGUUUCUGUGUCUCCUGGUCCUGGCUGCUCUCCCAGCGGUGUGUGUUUCUGUGUCUCCUGGUCCAGGCUGCUCUCCCAGCGGUGUGUGUUUCUGUGUCUCCUGGUCCAGGCUGCUCUCCCGGCGGUGUGUGUUUCUGUGUCUCCUGGUCCUGGCUGCUCUCACAGCAGUGUGUGUUUCUGUGUCUCCUGGUCCAGGUUGCUCUCCCAGCAGUGUGUGUUUCUGUGUCUCCUGGUCAGGUUUAUACCCAGCAGUGUGUGUUUCUGUGUCUCGGUCAGGUUGCUCUGGCAGUGUGUGUUUCUGUGUCUCGGUCCUGGCUGCUCCCAGCAGUGUGUGUUUCUGUCUCCUGGUCAGGCUGCUCUCCCAGCAGUGUGUGUUUCUGUGUCUCGGCCCUGGCUGCUCUCCCAGCAGUCUGUGUUUCUGUGUCUCCUGGUCUGGCUGCUCUCCCAGCGGUGUGUGUUUCUGUGUCUCCUGGUCCAGGCUGCUCUCCCAGCAGUGUGUGUUUCUGUGUCUCCCGGUCCUGGCUGCUCUCCCAGCAGUCUGUGUUUCUGUGUCUCCUGGUCCUGGCUGCUCUCCCAGCAGUGUGUGUUUCUGUGUCUCCCGGUCCAGGCUGCUCUCCCAGCAGUGUGUGUUUCUGUGUCUCCCGGUCCUGGCUGCUCUCCCAGCAGUGUGUGUUUCUGUGUCUCCCGGUCCAGGCUGCUCUCCCAGCAGUGUGUGUUUCUGUGUCUCCCGGUCCUGGCUGCUCUCCCAGCAGUCUGUGUUUCUGUGUCUCCUGGUCCUGGCUGCUCUCCCAGCAGUGUGUGUUUCUGUGUCUCCUGGUCCAGGCUGCUCUCCCAGCAGUGUGUGUUUCUGUGUCUCCCGGUCCUGGCUGCUCUCCCAGCAGUCUGUGUUUCUGUGUCUCCUGGUCCUGGCUGCUCUCCCAGCAGUCUGUGUUUCUGUGUCUCCCGGUCCUGGCUGCUCUCCCAGCAGUGUGUGUUUCUGUGUCUCCCGGUCCAGGCUGCUCUCCCAGCAGUGUGUGUUUCUGUGUCUCCCGGUCCUGGCUGCUCUCCCAGCAGUGUGUGUUUCUGUGUCUCCCGGUCCAGGCUGCUCUCCCAGCAGUGUGUGUUUCUGUGUCUCCCGGUCCUGGCUGCUCUCCCAGCAGUCUGUGUUUCUGUCUCGGUCAGGCUGCUCUCCCAGCAGUGUGUGUUCUGUGUCUCCUGGUCGGCUGCUCUCCCAACUUGCAGUGUGUGUUCUGUGUCUCCCUGGUGGGCUCUCCCAGCAGUGUGUGUUUCUGUGUCUCCUGGUCCAGGUUGCUCUCCCAGCAGUGUGUGUUUCUGUGUCUCCUGGUCCAGGCUGCUCUCCCAGCAGUGUGUGUUUCUGUGUCUCCCGGUCCUGGCUGCUCUCCCAGCAGUGUGUGUUUCUGUGUCUCCUGGUCCUGGCUGCUCUCCCAGCAGUGUGUGUUUCUGUGUCUCCUGGUCCAGGAUGCUCUCCCAGCAGUGUGUGUUUCUGUGUCUCCUGGUCCAGGAUGCUCUCCCAGCAGUGUGUGUUUCUGUGUCUCCUGGUCCUGGCUGCUCCCAGCAGUGUGUGUGUUUCUGUGUGUCUCGGUCCUGGCUGCUCUCCCAGCAGUCUGUGUUUCUGUGUCUCCCUGGUCUGGCUGCUCUUGGCAGUCUGUGUUUCAAUGUCUCGGUCUGGCUGCUCUCCCAACAGUGUGUGUUUCUGUGUCUCGGUCCAGGCUGCUCUCCCAGCAGUGUGUGUUUUCUGUGUCUCGGUCCUGUUUCUCUCCCAGCAGUGUGUGUUCCUGUGUCUCCUGGUCAGGCUGCUCCCAGCAGUGUGUGGUCUGUGUCUCGGUCCUGGCUGCUCUCCCAGCAGUCUGUCGCUCUGUGUCUCGGUCAGGCUGCUCUCCCAACGGUGUGUGUUUCUGUGUCUCCUGAUUCUGGCUGCUCUCCCAGUGUGUGUUUCUGUCUCCUGGUCAGGCACUCUCCCAGCAGUGUGUUUCUGUCUCGGUCCAGGUGCUCUCCCAGCAGUGUGUGUUUCUGUGUCUCCCGGUCCAGGUUGCUCUCCCAGCAGUGUGUGUUUCUGUGUCUCCUGGUCCAGGCUGCUCUCCCAGCAGUGUGUGUUUCUGUGUCUCCUGGUCCAGGCUGCUCUCCCAGCAGUGUGUGUUUCUGUGUCUCCUGGUCCAGGCUGCUCUCCCAGCAGUGUGUGUUUCUGUGUCUCCCGGUCCAGGUUGCUCUCCCAGCAGUGUGUGUUUCUGUGUCUCCC
rnacentral:lncRNA from 1 species